UAGUCUUUCCGUUUGUAUAAAAUAGCAAAGUAGCUUUUUAUAGAAUUUACUAUUUCAUUCUAUAUAUAUAAAGGAUGAACGUCAGGAAAAGGGAGAUGUUCUGCGACUGACUGUUCAACCCCAAUCAACAACUAAGUUUCAUGAGAAUUUCCCAGCUUGCUGAACUGUUGGAAUCAUGAAAAUGAUUUAGAAGCCGAAGGAACUGUCCUUGGAUCUUUAUACCGAACUGAUAAGUUGACAAAUCGGCUUAGAAGAGAAUAUCCACAGCUGUCUUUCCUUGAAUAUUAUGCGACAUCAUCUACACUGCUACUUUAUCUGCUGGAGGUGUGGUUGAAUCUCUGGGGACUUCAGAGGAGGAUUCAAAACUGAAACUUUGGCUUAGAAAGCAAGACAUACGCUCCAUCCUGUUGUUGAUGAGAAGUUUGAUGAAGUGAUAACAUUUAUUUGAAGUUGUAUCAGCACGACUAGUUAGCAUUUGAAAUUUGAAUGAAAAUAAUGAGUAACUUCUAGAUUUCAAAACUACAUGUAUCCUUCUGUUCAUUAGUGUUGGUUUUAUUUAUUUUAAUUUUUUUCAUUUAUUAAAAGUUAGUACCAGUAGAAAAGCAAAUUCUGUGAAUAUUAACAGUGAGACUAGCCACAUAUGACGAUCCAAAUCACUCUCUUUAAUGUGUAAGCAUACAAAAUAGCAUGAGGUAAUGUUUUGUUUUCAUUUUAUUGAUAUACAUGUAAACAUUUUUCGGUGCUAAUCAAUGUAUCAAUAAAUAAAUAGCUGAAAUUUUCUUUAACAAAAGACUGAUCUUAAGGCUUUUCUCUAAACCAAGAUGGCCAGGGCUGUUUUGAUCAGAUAGCAAAUACAUGUACAAUGGUUGAUUUCUGAAAUUAUUAAACCAGACUGACUUCUGAUGGUCCUUUGA